GUCAAACUGGUUCACUCACCCCCGGAUCUUCUUGCUCCUCCCUUUUGAUCCUGCCCUUUCAAUUGCUUACAAAGACAGCUCAACUUCUCAGAUCACUCAAAACUCACCUCCUUCCUAAAGCUUUCCUGAAACACCCCUGCUUAGGGGUAUUUGUCUAGCUUUCUCCCUCCUGGAACUCAUUCACUCAAAGGUCAUGCCUUUCUCAAUCAGUCAUAUCUUCAGGGGAUUGAUUGACUCCAGGACCCCCAGGAUAUCAAAAGUCACUGGAGUCCCUUUUAUAAAGUGGCAUAGAGUGGUCAGCCCAUAUCCGCAGUUACCCGCAGUCAUGGAUUCAACCAACCAAGGAUGGAUCCAUCUUCAGCUUGGCUUUUCUCCUGAGCCCCAGGGUCAUUUCCCCCAAAUGCCAGUUGGAUGUUGAAUCUCACCAUGUUAAAAGGAAGGUGGGAAACUAGCUCUGGAUUUUUUCUUUGUAAGUCACACACCUUACUGACUUUGUAUUUCCUUUAAUGGAACAAGCAUAGUUCCAGACCACCAGGUUCACCCUCAACUCUCUGCUUUUGUCCUGGCUAGUCAUAACCACAGUCGUGUGGGUUCUGCCUCCAUGAAGUCUCUUGUAUUCCCCGUUCUUUUUGACACCCUCAGUCUCCACCCCAAUCGAGGUUCUUUCAUCUCUCUAGUUGAGAAGCUUCCUAACUGGUUCUCUUUCUUCUGGUUUAUCUCCUCCUCUGUCUCUCCAUUGUGGCUGGAUUAAUCUUCUUAGAAGUGUGCGUCAGUUCUGAGAAGAGCCAAGAAAGAAGAGCCUGUGAAAUGGUGGCUUUUGUUUGGCUGACAAGUCUAAAGGGAUUGGGAGCUCCAGAGGGAGAGACUGGCUGGUGAAGGGGAGAAGGCCCUGUGGUGACCGCAGUUAGGUUGUGUAGACUCAGAGGUGAUUAUGCUGCUAGGGUUAGUCAUGCCAAAGAGUGAGAGCUUCCUGGUAAAACACAGAGAGAGCAGCCGGUAACUUGAGUUCCAUCCUGCGCCACCAAAACACAAGCUAAUAUGAUGGCCUUGGAAAGCAAGUGUUCUCAAGGCACAUACAUCCCUGCUCGGCUAACAGCCUGAGUUAACAGGCUUCCCAGUCAAUGGGGGAAACACAUCUCUCCUGGGACAGUGCCGUGGCCAGGAACUCUGCAAGUGUCUCUAAGGACUCCGGGUCCCUGGGAUGUGCCUUUGGAAACCCAGCCUCCAGCCAGGCUUGGCCUCCAGCUAGAGGCUUAGUGGUCAGCUGUGAAGAACAAAUGGACACCAGCAAUUCCUUCCCAGGGACCCGAGUGUCCAUGUGCACCCCCGUCACGCGUGGCACAGAGUGGCAUUUCUCGUUGGCCAAGUAAACACACCCAGUUC
ensembl:lncRNA